UACGUAGGGGGCAAGCGUUGUCCGGAAUCAUUGGGCGUAAAGAGCGUGUAGGCGGUUCGGUAAGUCGGCUGUGAAAGUCCAGGGCUCAACCCUGGGAUGCCGGUCGAUACUGCCGGACUAGAGUUCGGAAGAGGCGAGUGGAAUUCCCGGUGUAGCGGUGGAAUGCGCAGAUAUCAGGAGGAACACCAAUAGCGAAGGCAGCUCGCUGGGACGGUACUGACGCUAAGGCGCGAAAGCGUGGGGAGCGAACAGG
rnacentral:rRNA from 1 species